GUAGCCUUAAAAGCAAGUUCUCUGCAUGAUGAAAUCACAAAUACUAUUCACAUGAUAUCUUUUAUUUUGGGCACGUAUUCUGUUUCCGGGCCUAAACAGAAACCAAGAAUGAAAAAAUAAAAAAACAAUGAUAACAAGACUCAUUAACAACAGCCCAAGAUCCAAUUACAAAAUUACAGGCCCAAUACACAAACCCUAAAGCCCACAAUUUUAAUUAUUUUCAGAAAACUAAAACAAAUGGCAAGACUUGAGUCUCGUCAUCGCCGUUGAUUUCGCCACCUGCAAGAAAAGAUAAAGAAAAAAGACAGAGACCAAACAGUGCAAGAACAAACGCAGAACAGUAAAAUAUAAUAUGUAAAUCGGCUUUAAAAGCCCCAACAAUCAAUGUAAUUUUUUUACGGAGAAAGCAAUAAAAAAAAGCAAAGAGUUAACAAAAGUAGUUUUUUUUUUUUUUUAAAUCUGUCUAAUAAAAAAUAUAAAAGAGUAAAAAGGCUCGAUUUUUACCUGAGGCGCUUUGUCUUCGGCCGUUGUAGGAAUCCAUCGUCGUAGGGGCUAUCUCUUUUUUUCUUUUUUCUUUUAAAAAAAAAACCCCAAGAAACUGAAAGGUAUCAUCUUUUAUUUUUAUUUUUGAAUUUUGGAUCAUUUUUUGGGGAUUUUGACUCCGGAUCCAUGCUCUACACACAAAAAAAGGACUCAAAAGGGAGUCUUUUCCGAUUUUCGGCCACUAGAGGCGGCGGUUUCCGUCGUCGAUGACAGGCGGCCACGGCGGAGACUCGCCGGCCCCAUGAUUGGAGAGAAGGGCAGCUUCAAAAUAAAAUAAAAUGAAAAGAACUUUUUUUUAAAAA
rnacentral:lncRNA from 1 species